AUACGUAGGUGGCAAGCGUUGUCCGGAUUUACUGGGUGUAAAGGGCGCGUAGGCGGGCAGGCAAGUCAGAUGUGAAAUCUCCGGGCUCAACCCGGAAAUUGCAUUUGAAACUGCAGGUCUUGAGUAUCGGAGAGGCAAGCGGAAUUCCUAGUGUAGCGGUGAAAUGCGUAAAUAUUAGGAGGAACACCAGUGGCGAGGGCGGCUUGCGGGACGACAACUGACGCUGAGGCGCGAAAGCGUGGGGAGCAAACAGGAUUAGAUACCCCGGUAGUCCCCGCCCUAAACGAUGAAUACUAGGGGUGGGGGGACUGACCCCUUCCGUGCCGGAGUAAACACAAUAAGUAUUCCACCUGGGGAGUACGACCGCAAGGUUGAAACUCAAAGGAAUUGACGGGG
rnacentral:rRNA from 1 species